GCCAGUUAAUAAAAGCCAGUGCACGGUGAUACUGUCUCAGGAAACUAUUAGAUAUGAAUGGAUCAAUGGAAUAAUGUUUGACAUCCUCUUGAAUUUGCACAUAAAUCUGUAAAUAAUUGUCCACAUAUACAGAUAUAUUUUGACAUUUGUUUUUGCUAGUUUUUCCACAGUGACAGAAUGCCUGGAAAUAAAGUAAGAUUUACAAAGACUGAAUAUGAUGAUGCAGAAGAUGAUAAUAUAAUUAAGAGGGCUCAUAUCGCCUCUGAACAACACGCCAUCAACCACAUAUUGAGGAACCUUAACAGUAACGUUGAGUUCAUUGCAAUACUGCCUACUGUCCUGCAGUUAAAGGUCGACUCUGUCAUAAACAGUGAGUUGAGCAGUGCACUCCAGGAACAUCUAAUGUUAGAGCAAAGGAUGGAGAUGCUAAAAGAUCACAAGCUGGUGUCAGAUGGGAAGAAUGAGACUACUCAGCUCGAGAAGAAGAUCAGAAGCUCUUUUAGGAAUCUGCUCAGGCUUUUGAAAGUCUAUCCUCUUCUCCUUUCUGCUUGGAAGAAAGAUUUGGGUAAGGAAAUAGGGAAGUUUGAAAAGGCACUAAUUAAAGAGCUUAAUAUAUUAGGAGGUCUGGAACCCAAGCCUCAGAUGGGUUCUCCCAAACCAGUUUGCUCUGAUCCAAACGACAUUGAUUUUGAACAAGACAAAGACCAAACUGCAACAAUGGAGGAGGUCAUUAUGAUGAUUUCUCAGAGAAGUCAUGGUAUUGACCAUUUGGAGCGUUCUCUGCAUAAGAAAAGAGAAGAGGAGAGUACAUUAGCGGAGCAGCUACAGGCUGCCUUUGAAGAAUCUGAAACAAUGCAGAAAAAACAGCAGCAGGAUGUUGAUCAUAUGAACGCUCAACUCAACGAUCUCAUGACCAGCAACUUUGAAGAAGAAGCUGCAAUCCGAUGGAGAAUCAAAAGGGUUGAUACAGUUACUGAACGCUUGACUGAAGAUUUUGAUGAAGAAAUGGAGGCCCUGCAGGAGAGCUUUGAGAGGGUAACAAAGGAGUAUGAGCAGGAGGUAGAAGAAGUGGAAAGGCUGGAGAUGCUUUAUUCUGAACUAGAUGUAGAGUACAGAAACAUUUUGGAGAACCGCCGGCUUGCAGAGGAGAAGAAGGAGAAGGAAGCGAAGCAGCUAAUGUUAAUGACAGAAGCUGCUCUUCUUAUCCAAGCAUGCUGGAGAGGCUAUGGUGUCCGCAAGGCCUUGAAGGAGAGAGGGAAAAAAGGCAAAGGCAAAAAGGGCAAAAAAGGUAAAGGAUCCAAGGGGAAGAAAAAAGCAGGCAAAAAGUCAUAG
rnacentral:lncRNA from 1 species